rnacentral:ncRNA from 1 species
UAUCGACUGACCUAGCAGACAAGCCACGACGAUAGAACUUAUUCUCCCAGGAGGGAAUUAUG